AGAUGAGGGGCCAGAGAUGACGGGGUAAUAGUUAGAUUAUUAUUAUUUUUCAUUUUUUUUAACCUUUAUUUAACCAGGCAAGUCAGUUAAGAACAAAUUCUUAUUUUCAAUGACGGCCUAGGAACAGUGGGUUAACUGCCUGUUCAGGGGCAGAACGACAGAUUUGUACCUUGUCAGCUCGGGGGUUUGAACUUGCAACCUUCCGGUUACUAGUCCAAUGCUCUAACCACCAGGCUACCCCGUCAUCUAACCCUUAUCCUACAAUCUAACCCUUACAAUACAAUCUAACCCUUACCCUACAAUGGGGCCCAUUGUAGGGUAAGGGUUAGAUUGUAGGGUAAGGGUUAGAUUGUAGGGUUAGAUUGUAGGGUAAGGGUUAGAUUGUAGGAUAAGGGUUAGAUUGUAGGGUUAGAUUGUAGGGCAAGGGUUAGAUUGUAAGGUAAGGGUUAGAUUGUAGGGUUAGAUUGUAAGGUAAGGGUUAGAUUGUAGGAUAAGGGUUAGAUGACGGGGUAAAGGUUAGAUUGUAGGAUAAUGGUUAGAUUAUAGGGUAAGGGUUAGAUGAUGGGAUAAGGGUUAGAUUGUAGGGUAAGGGUUAGAUUGUAGGGUAAGGGCUAGAUUGUAGGGUAAGGGUUAGAUUAAGGGUUAGAUUGUAAGGUAAGGGUUAGAUUGUAGGGUAAGGGUUAGAUUGUAAGGUAAGGGUUAGAUUGUAGGGUAAGGGUUAGAUUGUAGGGUAAGGGUUAGAAUGUAAGGUAAGGGUUAUAUUGUAGGGUAAGGGUUAGAUUGUAAGGUAAGGGUUAUAUUGUAGGGUAAGGGUUAGAUUGUAGGGUUAGAUUGUAGGGUAAGGGUUAGAUUGUAGGGUAAGGGUUAGACUGUAGGAUAAGGGUUAGAUUAAGGGCUAGAUUGUAGGAUAAGGGUUAGAUGACGGGGUAAAGGUUAGAUUGUAGGGUAAUGGUUAGAUUAUAGGGUAAGGGUUAGAUGAUGGGAUAAGGGUUAGAUUGUAGGGUAAGGGUUAGAUUGUAGGGUAAGGGUUAGAUUGUAGGGUAAGUGUUAGAUUGUAGGGUAAGGUUUAGAUUGUAAGGUAAGGGUUAGAUUGUAAGGUAAGGGUUAGAUUGUAGGAUAAUGGUUAGAUUGUAGGGUAAGGGUUAGAUUGUAGGAUAAGGGUUAGAUUGUAGGAUAAGGGUUAGAUUAAGGGUUAGAUUGUAGGAUAAUGGUUAGAUUGUAGGGUAAGGGCUAGAUUGUAGGGUAAGGGUUAGAUUGUAGAGUAAGGGUUAGAUUAAGGGUUAGAUUGUAAGGUAAGGGUUAGAUUGUGGGGUAAGGGUUAGAUUGUAGGGUAAGGGUUAGAUUGUAGGAUAAGGGUUAGAUUGUAGGAUAAGGGUUAGAUUAAGGGUUAGAUUGUAGGGUAAGGGUUAGAUUGUAGGGUAAGAUUGUAGGGUACGGGUUAGAUUGUAGGAUAAGGGUUAGAUUAAGGGUUAGAUUGUAGGGUAAGGGUUAGAUUGUAGGGUAAGGGUUAGAUUGUAUGAUAAGGGUUAGAUUAAGGGUUAGAUUGUAGGAUAAGGGUUAGAUUGUAGGUUAAGGUUUAGAUUGUAGGGUAAGGUUUAGAUUGUAG
ensembl:lncRNA